UUUGACAACACAUAUAUUAUACUAAAUUUGGAAAAAUACAGAGAUGAUUAGGCUGGCCCCUAUGCAAGGAUGACAUGCAUAUUCAAGAAGCAUUCCAUAUUUUU